rnacentral:rRNA from 1 species
UACGAAGGGGGCUAGCGUUGCUCGGAAUCACUGGGCGUAAAGGGCGCGUAGGCGGCCGUUCAAGUCGGGGGUGAAAGCCUGUGGCUCAACCACAGAAUUGCCUUCGAUACUGUACGGCUCGAGACCGGAAGAGGUGAGUGGAACUGCGAGUGUAGAGGUGAAAUUCGUAGAUAUUCGCAAGAACACCAGUGGCGAAGGCGGCUCACUGGUCCGGUUCUGACGCUGAGGCGCGAAAGCGUGGGGAGCAAAC